rnacentral:misc_RNA from 1 species
AAAGUCGUAACAAGGUUUCCGUAGGUGAACCUGCGGAAGGAUCAUUAAAGAGUUUUUGAGGGUGAUUGUCACACACACACACACACUGUGUGUAUGUGUGUGAUAUAUCAUGACCUUUGCGUAUGUUGUGUUUGUCUGUGUUACCAUAUUAUUACUAAUGAGAGACAACUUUUAACAAUGGAUCUCUUGGUUCUC